rnacentral:rRNA from 1 species
AGGGUUUGAUCCUGGCUCAGAUUGAACGCUGGCGGCAUGCCUAACACAUGCAAGUCGAACGGAAACGAUGCUAGCUUGCUAGCAGGCGUCGAGUGGCGGACGGGUGAGUAAUGCAUAGGAAUCUACCUAAUAGUGGGGGACAACCUGGUGAAAACCAGGCUAAUACCGCAUAAUCCCUACGGGGCAAAGCAGGGGACCUUCGGGCCUUGCGCUAAUAGAUGAGCCUAUGUCGGAUUAGCUAGUUGGUGAGGUAAUGGCUCACCAAGGCGACGAUCCGUAGCUGGUUUGAGAGGAUGAUCAGCCACACUGGGACUGAGACACGGCCCAGACUCCUACGGGAGGCAGCAGUGGGGAAUAUUGCACAAUGGGCGAAAGCCUGAUGCAGCAAUGCCGCGUGUGUGAAGAAGGCCUUAGGGUUGUAAAGCACUUUCAGUAGGGAGGAAAAGUAAGUAGUUAAUAACUGCUUACCCUGACGUUACCUACAGAAGAAGCACC